UACGUAGGUGGCAAGCGUUAUCCGGAAUUACUGGGCGUAAAGCGCACGCAGGCGGUCUUUUAAGUUUGACGUGAAAGCUCCCGGCUUAACUGGGAGAGGUCGUUGAAGACUGGAAGACUUGAGGCAAUGAGAGGGGUGUAGAAUUCCCGUUGUAGUGGUGGAAUGCGUAGAUAUCGGGGGGAAUACCAGUGGCGAAAGCGGCACCCUAGCGUUAGCCUGACGCUCAUGUGCGAAAGCGUGGGGAGCGAACGGG
rnacentral:rRNA from 1 species